GUGCUCACUUUGGCAGCACAUACACUAAAACUGGAACCAUACAAAGAAGAUUAGCAUGCCCCUGGGCAAAAAAAAAAAAAAAGAAAAGGAAAAGAAAAACACUGGU